UGGUGGAUUGAUUUGUCUGGUUAAUUCCGUUAACGAACGAGACCUUAACCUAUUAAAUAUGUUACACGAAAUCUUCACCCUUUGGGUCUGAUGUUUCGUUGGGAUUUACUUCUUAGAGGGACCAUUCGCGUCUAGUGAAUGGAAGAUUGAGGCAACAACA
rnacentral:rRNA from 1 species